GACGGGGGGGGCAAGUGUUCUUCGGAAUGACUGGGCGUCAAGGGCACGUAGGCGGUGAAUCGGGUUGAAAGUGAAAGUCGCCAAAAAGUGGCGGAAUGCUCUCGAAACCAAUUCACUUGAGUGGGACAGAGGAGAGUGGAACUGCGAGUGUAGAGGUGAAAUUCGUAGAUAUUCGCAAGAACACCAGUGGCGAAGGCGGCUCACUGGCCCGGUACUGACGCUGAGGCACGAAAGCGUGGGGAGCAAACAGG
rnacentral:rRNA from 1 species